GACGAACGCUGGCGGCGUGCUUAACACAUGCAAGUCGAACGGAAAGGCCCUGCUUUUGUGGGGUGCUCGAGUGGCGAACGGGUGAGUAACACGUGAGUAACCUGCCCUUGACUUUGGGAUAACUUCAGGAAACUGGGGCUAAUACCGGAUAGGAUCUCCUGCUGCAUGGUGGGGGUUGGAAAGUUUCGGCGGUUGGGGAUGGACUCGCGGCUUAUCAGCUUGUUGGUGGGGUAGUGGCUUACCAAGGCUUUGACGGGUCGCCGGCCUGAGAGGGUGACCGGGCACAUUGGGACUGAGAGACGGACCAGAGUCCUACGGGAGGCAGCAGUGGGGAAUAUUGCACAAUGGGCGGAAGCCUGAUGCAGCAACGCCGCGUGCGGGAUGACGGCCUUCGGGUUGUAAACCGCUUUCGCCUGUGACGAAGCGUGAGUGACGGUAAUGGGUAAAGAAGCACCGGCUAACUACGUG
rnacentral:rRNA from 1 species